CUAGAUAUGUGGGCGCAUGCGAUCCCCUCCAUUUCAAUAUGUUGAUAUAUGCUUGUUUAGUCACUUCAUGCUUAACUCUUGAAAAGUGGUCUGAGUGGGAAUAACCUGUGAGCGACGGCGAGACAGAUGACAACGAAAAGAUCUGACUGUGACGGUGAGGGGGGAAGGAUCAAGACGGCGUUAGGGAUUUUUUUAAGAGGAAAGGAGAAUGAAAUGGAAUCUUGUUUUUUCUCAAUUUCAAUUUGUUGAUUAUGCUUGUAGUUUUUCAAUUUUUAAGUAAUACAAUCAGAUACCAACAUUCCAAUAAUGCAUGCAUUGACAAGAUAUUGUUUCAUUAAACAAGACAAUGAGAUUGACAUGUUAUAAGUUCAUCAUAACAUGGUGACAUAUUGCCUGCUUUCCCACAGCAGCAGUUCUUCCCACUGUUAUUUGUCUUGCAACAAAACGACGCUGUCUUUAAUAUUGGUAUGCCAUCAGCUUCCCCCAUUGUUCCAUCACCAUUCAUCAUUUGAUUUUCAUGUCCUGCAAUUUUUGUUCAUCCACCAUUAAAUCCAUUGUUGGAGCAUAGAGAUGAUAAAAUAUGCGAAAAAAAUACAGAUCGAAGAGGAAAAGCUAGCUACCUUGGUGGAUUGUGAAGAGAGUGAUCAAUAUGAAGAGUACAAAGAGAAAUUUGCAGGACAUCAUUUUCUUAAUUAUGUUUCUAGCAAUAUAAUUUUCCUUCUUGAAAGAUUAGAUUGGAAGUUG
rnacentral:lncRNA from 1 species